GCUGAGCUCCAAGAUAGAGACAAGGAAUUUGGCAUAUCAGAUAUUCAGCUCGGGCUUACCACUCUUGAAGAAGUUUUUCUGAACAUCGCUAGACAGGCAGAAUUGGAAGAAGUGGCUGAAGGAAGCUCUGCUACUCUUACUUUGAAUACAGGGGUCUCACUUCAAAUACCUAUAGGAGCAAGAUUUGUGAAAAUUCCAGGAACAGAAUCUUCUGAGAAUCCAAUUGGAACUAUGGUAGAAGUGUAUUGGGAUCAAGAUGAUUCUGGUAGACUCUGCAUUUCUGGUCACUCACCAGAUAUGCCAAUACCAGCUCAUGUUCAACUAAUAGAUCCUCCAACAGACACUUCUAGUAGAGGCUUUUUGCGAAAACGGA
rnacentral:misc_RNA from 1 species